GACGAACGCUGGCGGCGUGCUUAACACAUGCAAGUCGAGCGGCGCGGCGAACGGGUGAGUAACGCGUGAGUAACUGCCCCCCUCUCUGGGAUAACAGUUGGCAACGGCUGCUAAUACCGGAUAGUGGGGGAUGACUCGCGUCCUAUCAGCUUGUUGGUGGGGUAGUGGCCGACCAAGGCGACGCCGGGUAGCCGGCCUGAGAGGGCGACCGGCCACAUUGUGCUGAGAUACGGCCCAGACUCGGACGGGGGGAAGCAGUGGGGAAGAUGGCGCAAUGGGGGAACCCCGGAGGCAGGAACGCCGCGUUCGGGAUGACGGCCUUCGGGUUGUAAACCGGUUUCAGCCAUGACGCGGUAGUGGCAGAAGAAGCACCGGCUAACUACGUGCCAGCCGCCGCGGUAAUUC
rnacentral:rRNA from 1 species